GAGCGGCCGGACGGGGGAGCCAACCGCGUGGCUUGGGGUCUCUCCCAGGGCCCGUCCUCGGCGCGCCCCUUCCCGCCCCCGGGCCCGCCCAGGCCGGGCAGCCGGGACAGAGGUCUGGCCUCAGCUCGGCGCCCCGAGGCGAGCUCCUGUUAGGGCCCCUUUGGGGUGGGGACGUCCUCGUGGUGCCCGGGCGCUUCCUCCCUGAGAAGGACAACCGGUGUCCACGUGGAGCGUUAAGGAGCGAACCCCGUUCCCGAGGACCCAUUCCUCCCGCCUCCCAGCAAGAAGCGGCCAGUCGCCCACCACGUCCCGUGCCCGUGACCCCGCCGCGCAAGGGGUCCGAUCCAUAGCUGGAAAUGAGAGAAGAUUCCCAAGUGUCAGAAAAUUUGGCACAGUGGAGUUCAAGAUGCUGCCAAACUUAAAGGUCUGCUGCUUAAAAGAAUCGAUGAAGCUUUUCAAGUAGAUAAAGUGUAUUUGAAUAUGUGAUGAUAUAUACCCAGUAGAGGUUUUUGCUAUCCUUGUCCUUUCAUGGUAGUAGCAGGGGUGACCUUUGAGAUGGUCCCAAAUAUCUUUAGGAGCAUAUAUCUGAGAAUUUUGAACUUCCACCCGUGUACCUGAGUUGGCCCCAUAGAAUUCAAUUCCAUUUUUUAAAGUAGUUUUUCUAUAAACCAGCUCUAGUCUGAAACUGUGACAAGUGUUUUUUUUUUUUUGGUCUUUUUCGUGACUGGCACUCAGCCAGUGAGUGCACCAGCCAUUCCUAUAUAGGAUCCGAACCCACGGCAGGAGCAUCGCAGCGCUCCCAGCGCCGCACUCUCCCGAGUGCGCCACGGGCUCGGCCUUGUGACAAGUGUUAACACCAAAGAAUGUGGAUGGUUCACGUACUGACUAGUCAGUCCUUCAAGGAGGUCAGUUUUAGAGCAUGUUAAUUCUUUCUAACUAGACUAGUGCUUUACAACUAUCUUAAGACAAUCUUAAACUGCUUUAAUUUAUAAAAAUCAUUUAAAAAUCUCAUUCUUUUGACUAUUCUAAAAAUUAUAUGCUCUUUUACAGUAUACUCUUAAAUACUACUAUUGAAGCAUAUACGAGUGUACUUCCAAAAGUCCAUGGAAAGAUUCAUAUUUAUCUUUUAAUUCUAUUUUUUCACAAAUUUUAUUGAAGUACCCUUGUAUGUGUUGAUGGAGUUAACUAUCUCAGAUUAAUUAUCUGCACAUCUGUAGUAAAAUGAAGUGAUGAUACAUCUUCUACUACUUCUACAUCUUGAUUAUGGCAUGACUGAACUUUACUGAAUGUAAAUUCAUACUAAAAUAAACGUGACUUUUAACAACUUA